UGUUGCAGGUGGUGCAGGGACACAGGGACAGGUUUUUUUGGUUUGUUUUUCCUUUUUUCAGUUUCUUUUUUUUUUUUUUUUCUGCUUCUGAAAGCCCCCAGAUGGGCAAGGUACGAGCCAAACCCCACUGGCAGCAGCCAAGAAUGGUUUUCUGGCCACAGCCCCAGCAGCUCUUGGAGCGGCGCCGUGCCCAGCCGGCGUCACACCGCAGCGGAAACCCCAUGCGCAGGCGGGCUGGGGGUGGCUUCAGCUGGGGGAGGUGGCAGGAUCCCUCCUAGCCCCCCCUCAGCAGAGGGUCCCACACUCUCAGUGCUCCCAGCAUGGGCUCAGCCUGCUCCCACCAGGCUGCAGCCACCCAGAUGUCCCCCCCGCCGUCACCGAUCCCCCCAGUGUGCAGCCAUCUGCUGCCGUCAGAGGUCAGGGUGUCCCUGGUUCUGUGAAGUACUUUGUCCCCCAGAGCUCCCCCUUGGUGGAGCAGCCCUCCCCACGAGGGAAGGAGCUCACCCUCCUUGGUGUGUGCCCUGCUCCCACCCCAGCACAGAGCCCGGGAGAUGGGCUGGGGGGGCACCGAGCAUCUGCUCCCUGCAUAGACCUGGCCACCUCCACCAUCAGCACUGGCUCUGGAUGGCUCCUGCCAGGGCCACGAGGAGGGUAAAUCAGGAUGUGCAUGGGAUGGCUGCUCACCCAAAGGUGAUUGCUGGGGCAGGGAGCGAUGGGGCAGGGGGAUGGGCUGCAUGGGGGCUUUUGUCCGCUGUCCGCACGGUGCCGGGUGCACUGCGCCCAGCUCCAUGCCAGCCCCUGCAGAGCUGUGCGGUGUGCGUGCCUGCCAUAAAUAUUGAUGGGGCGGACGUGGUGCAAGUGUGCUGUUAUACACAGUGCUCGGGAUGUGAAUGCUGUACGCACCGGGGGAAGCGGUGCGGGUGCAGCGCUGGGGCUGAAUGCACAGAGGCUGUUCAGGGGAGGUGGAAUUCAGCGUGGGGUGGGAAGGGGCCGGGGGAACAGCCCCAGGGGUCAGAAAGCAGCAAGGCAAAACCUGCUGCCAGACUGCAGUGA
rnacentral:lncRNA from 1 species